GAUGAACGCUGACAGAAUGCUUAGCACAUGCAAGUCAACUUGAACUUCGGUUUGGGUGGCGGACGGGUGAGUAACGCGUAAAGAACUUGCCUCACAGCUAGGGACAACAUUUGGAAACGAAUGCUAAUACCUGAUAUUAUGAUUUUAGGGCAUCCUAGAAUUAUGAAAGCUAUAUGCGCUGUGAGAGAGCUUUGCGUCCCAUUAGCUAGUUGGAGAGGUAACGGCUCACCAAGGCGAUGAUGGGUAGCCGGCCUGAGAGGGUGAACGGCCACAAGGGGACUGAGACACGGCCCUUACUCCUACGGGAGGCAGCAGUGGGGAAUAUUGGACAAUGGACCAAGAAUCUGAUCCAGCAAUUCUGUGUGCACGAUGAAGUUUUUCGGAAUGUAAAGUGCUUUCAGUUGGGAAGAAAAAAAUGACGGUACCAACAGAAGAAGUGACGGCUAAAUACGUG
rnacentral:rRNA from 1 species